AACGAACGCUGGCGGCAGGCUUAACACAUGCAAGUCGAGCGCCCCGCAAGGGGAGCGGCAGACGGGUGAGUAACGCGUGGGAAUCUCCCCAGCUCUACGGAACAACUCCGGGAAACUUGAGCUAAUACCGUAUACGUCCUUCGGGAGCAAGAUUUAUCGGAGAUGGAUGGGCCCGCGUUGGAUUAGCUAGUUGGUGGGGUAAUGGCCUACCAAGGCGACGAUCCAUAGCUGGUCUGAGAGGAUGAGCAGCCACACUGGGACUGAGACACGGCCCAGACUCCUACGGGAGGCAGCAGUGGGGAAUAUUGGACAAUGGGCGAAAGCCUGAUGCAGCCAUGCCGCGUGAGUGAUGAAGGCUCUAGGGUUGUAAAGCUCUUUCAACGGGGAAGAUAAUGACGGUAACCGAAGAAGAAGCCCCGGCUAACUUCGUGCCAGCCGCCGCCGUAA
rnacentral:rRNA from 1 species